rnacentral:rRNA from 1 species
AUGGAAGAGGAAGCUACAGAAAUAGUGAAACUGAAGGAUUUGAGUGGUGCACUAUGGGAUGAGGACAAGUCUAUGAUUGUUCUUGAUCAUGAGCAUUACACAAAUCAUGUUAAGGCUCAUCCAGAGGACGAACAAUACCUUAACAAGACUAUUAUUCAUUAUAAGGAGAUGAUGUAUAUAGCUGGAGGGAGCAUGGCUAUAGGGCAAUAUGCAAAAGACUCAAGUGACCCUCUUUCUACAGAAGUGGUUAAUCUUGAAGAAGAGACUGUCGGCGACCUGGGAACGGGGGUCCCCAGACUUGCCUGCCUGCGGCCCACGGCGUGGCUGCACCAGCGGCCCUGUACGACCCAUCUUCACCAGCAAACACACAAGACGCUCGCGAGGGGCCAAGUCUCGCGAGGCGGACGACACAAGGCCUUCUCGGGACGGCCCCACCAGGCUGGCUCGCGAGGGGCGGAGAGAUCAAGGCAAGGGACACCUCGCGAGGUUCUUGUGACGCAAGCCAUGACGACAGGAGCCAGGCGGGCGCCAGCGUGCAGUGUCCUCGUUUCCUCUUUGGUGCUAAAGAGGCAAGCGCAGGCGAGGAGUCCCGAGGCAUCAGACAAAGGUUUCCAUAUUGGUGCAACGAGACCAAGACCAGCAGGACGAUAG